ensembl:snRNA U1 U1 spliceosomal RNA
UUACAAACCUGCCAGAGAGAUAUCAUAAUUAUGAAGGUAGUUUUCUAAGGAUAAGGUCCUUCCAUUGAACUAGAGAUACAUUGAUGACCCUUAUGAUUUUUUCAAAUGCAGGAAACAUGACAAAAUCAUUUGUAGCAAUAGGGAACAGUAUUUGCCUUUUCCCCU